CCCCUAGAUCUUGCGACGGCCGUGGUGACGUCCUCUCCCGCGGCCUCCUUCUCCGUCGCCUCGCCGCGCGCCCGGCUGCCUUCUUCCCCUCAUCUCGCCGCCUUUCUUCGUCGGCGUUUCCUGAUCCCGACAGGGGGGGAGGGGAGGGGAGUUCAAGAGGAAAGGGGGAUCCCCUUCUCUGCAAAGCGCUCUAUUUGCCGGCUACGGUGGCAGCGCUCAUGUCCUGGAGGCCAUGUGGACGACGGCGGUGAUGAGCGAGCCCAUGUGGACGACGGCAUCGGCUGUGACCUGGACGCCUCCUGCCCUUCCCCUUCCCCAUUGCAUCUUUCCUUCCCGUCUUCCCGUCCAGUUCCUUCCCCCACGCCACCGCCGCCGUUCCGAGCAUCUGCAAACUCCGUCGCCCGCCCAGAAGCAAGCAGAGCAGGGACCUGGAGAAAGCAACACAUUUGCUAAGCCUAGCUGCUUGAUCCUGAAAGAAUUUCCAGAUGCUUGUUACUCCUAGAUGCUUGACUUGGAGUAUCUUGGAGUAUUUGUUGGAGUAUGCCAUAUGCUGGAUGUUGGAGCAUUUGUCUAUAGUAUCUUGGUUGAUUGAAGAUAUUGUAAUGACCAUGUACAAGUGAACAGAGAGAUUUGUACUGGCACAUUUGUUCAGUACAAAUUCUUCGUUUCUUCUUCUUCUUAGCCCUUGUAAUGAUGAGAGAGAGAGAGAGAGAGAGAGAGCAAAUGAUGGUUGAUGAAUGAUGUAACCCCAAACCCCUUAUUGAAGAUAUUAUUUCUCUCAA